rnacentral:rRNA from 1 species
GAGUUUGAUCCUGGCUCAGAUUGAACGCUGGCGGCAGGCCUAACACAUGCAAGUCGGGCGGUAGAGAGAAGCUUGCUUCUCUUGAGAGCGGCGGACGGGUGAGUAAUGCCUAGGAAUCUGCCUGGUAGUGGGGGAUAACGCUCGGAAACGGACGCUAAUACCGCAUACGUCCUACGGGAGAAAGCAGGGGACCUUCGGGCCUUGCGCUAUCAGAUGAGCCUAGGUCGGAUUAGCUAGUUGGUGAGGUAAUGGCUCACCAAGGCGACGAUCCGUAACUGGUCUGAGAGGAUGAUCAGUCACACUGGAACUGAGACACGGUCCAGACUCCUACGGGAGGCAGCAGUGGGAAUAUUGGACAAUGGGCGAAAGCCUGAUCCAGCCAUGCCGCGUGUGUGAAGAAGGUCUUCGGAUUGUAAAGCACUUUAAGUUGGAGGAAGGGCAGUAAAUUAAUAACUUUGCUGUUUUGACGUUACCGACAGAAUAAGCACCGGCUAACUCUGUGCCAGCAG